rnacentral:rRNA from 1 species
CGGCGGACGGGUGAGUAACGCGUGGGUAACCUGCCCUGUACACACGGAUAACAUACCGAAAGGUAUGCUAAUACGGGAUAACAUAAGAAAUUCGCAUGUUUUUCUUAUCAAAGCUCCGGCGGUACAGGAUGGACCCGCGUCUGAUUAGCUAGUUGGUGAGGUAAUGGCUCACCAAGGCGACGAUUAGUAGCCGACCUGAGAGGGUGAUCGGCCACAUUGGAACUGAGACACGGUCCAA